AAACAAUUCUGAGGUCAGUAAUGCAAAUUCAGAAAGCAACAAAUUGAGUAGUACUCUAGUGGAGGCCAAAGACUCAAAAACUGCUCAACUGUUGACACGCCAUAAUGCUAAGGAUGAAGAUGUGGAGAAGCAACCAAUAGUCAAAGAACCUGUUAGGCGAUCAACACGUAGAUCUGUUGUCUCAGCUAUGCUUGAUAAUGAGAAGGACCUAUUUGAAGAAAAGAACCCUGAAGCACAUGUUAGGAGAUCAAUGCGGAAAUCUAUUGUGCCGGUUAAAGAUAUCAAAGGUGCUGGUGAAGAGAGUCAGAAUGCUAAGGGUGAAGAUGCCGCGAAGCAGCCAGCAGUUAAAGAACCUGUUAGGCGAUCAACACGUAAAUCUGUUGUCUCAGUCAUGCAUGAGAAAGAGGAGAAGGAUCUCAUUGCAGAAAAGAACCCGGAAGCACAUGUUAGGAGAUCAAAGAGGAAAUCUGUUGUGCCAGCUAAAGAUAUUGAAGGUGUUGGUG
rnacentral:lncRNA from 1 species